GGAUCGGCGAACGUGCAGGUGGCAUGAGGGUGUGCAUCCGUCUUGAAAACCGCUUGGCAGGGACCCCUCUGCCACAUGGGUUCGAAUCCCAUGCCCUCCG
rnacentral:tRNA from 1 species